GUGUGCACCCCGGCUGGCGUGAGGCCUUCCUGGAGGGCGGCAGAGCCGGCCCGGGCGCUCGCCCUCCUCCUCGUGACUUCUUCCCCGCUCCGAUCGAGGAGGUUUCCCACGCGGACUUGGCUCUACCUGCGAUCGGAUCUGUGCGGGGCCGGGUUGUGGAGGGCCUUGUGUACCGGCACGGGCGCGACAGAGUUCUGCGGGUUUGGGGUUUUUGCUUUAAGUUUUCACCGAAGUAGAAGUUUGAUCACUCAGGUGGUCCACUUGGGAUAAUUUUGGAGGUGGAGGCCAGCCAAACAUGUUCGGAAUUAGGGAGUCAGAAAACUUAACUUUUCAAAGUAACUAUUUUUGAGUCUUUUUCUGCAAAUAACACGUCACGAGUUAGAGGGUAGGGUGCCAGAAAGCUAAAGACUUAAGGAAACGGAGGCGAGUGGAGUUUUUGUGGCAAGCUUGGUUUGUCCAAAAUUGCCUGAAAAAAAAUCCUUGAAGUGAUAGGAAGGCAACAGCAGGCUUUCGGGAAUCGUAUUGGCACCAACACUUCAAAUAUGCCAGGCAAGUUGUUACAUGAAGGUUGGUAGCCAACCAGCAAUAAUUUGUCCAGGGAAUGAUGAUUUAUUUAAGGUUUUUUUUGGGGGGGAGGGAUAAGUGAGACCCUGCCAUGGACGCCACUCUAAUCAGACUAGACCUAUUACUGACAAACAUAACUGGGCAUUGGUUUUUGAGCAGCCGAACUUUGCUGCUGUGUUUAGAGGGACACACUCAUGCUGUCUUUUCUAGCCCUUGGCUGGCCUGGAACUUGCUGUAUAAACCAACUGCCCGGAUCUUGUGUCAUUCCUCCUGUCACUACUUCCUGAGUGCUGAGUUUAUGGAAGUGUGCUACCAAACCUGUUUGAGUGUUUUUGUUUAUUGAGACUGGGUUUCAGGUAGUCCAAGCUGGCCUUGAACCCACUGUACAGCCAAAUAUAACCUUGAACUCUUGAUCCGCCUUAGCCUUGCAAAUGCUGGGAUUAUAGGUGUGAGUACCCUCACUUCUAGAUGAUAAAAUACCUUACUGUGUAUUUAUGUGUGCUCGUGCCCAGGAACUCUGAUGGUGCAGAUGGGGCGGCUCUCCACCAUGUGGGUUCGUUCAGGUCGUCAGGUGUGCUGGCGAGCACCUUUACUUGCUCAGCCAUCUCUCCUGUCCUAGAUGAUAAAUUUCCCCCUUUCCCACCCAGUGUAUAUUGACAGAAACGAAUAUUUUUGAUUUUUGUGAGCAUCACGUUGUUUCCAGUCCUUUUCCAGAGCUGACAAGUGCCUUCCUUCCCUUCUUGAGAUUCCAAUAUUCUAUCUCCGAACAUCAUCUCUGCCCAAAGCUUGUGAGUUCUGGGCCGAGGCGCACACAAGCCAAGCCAAGAGCACUGCGUUUUCGCGCUCCGUCCCUAGUGUGUUAAGCAGGGCGCUGUUUUCUGGAGUGGUGCUUCGUGCACGGCAUGUUAGUUAGAGCUGUCUGAAAAGCAGUCUCCGCAGGCUUGCUUUAGAGCUGGAGUUCCUCAGCAGCUCUCUGACAGCAUCCGUCUCACUUGUUUGAUUUGGGGGAUAGAGUUGAGAACGGAGUCUUGUCUUGUAGCCCAGCUGGACAGGCCUGUGCCUCAGAUCCUCUUUUUCAGGGUCUUUCUGUGUAGGCCAGCCUGUGUGAGAACCCGUGAUUCCCCUGCCUCUGCUUACUCAGUGCUGGGAUGGCAGUCAGCGACCACCAGCUGUCCUGGUUCCAGCAGAGACAGUCUCUCUCUGUAGCCGAGCUAGCCGCUCUUGGCCUCCUACCCCAGAUAUCCCAGUCUAGCCAUAUUCCUAGGUUUCUGGUUUUUGCCAGUGGCCCUUUCUCCUUUGCCCAUCUGAUUUUGUUCGUCAGAGGUCACUAAGCCAACUGCAUAGAACACUCGUGUGCAAGGGCUGUUGGUUUGAGCAUGGAGCUAGUAAAGUGCUGGACUGAAGCUUGCCUGGAGCAGCCAGGCUGUGCCCAGAACACUAAUUAGCUCAUGUGCUCCCAAGACGGGACACUUGAAACAGUGGGCAACACAAAGAAGACUCUGCCUCUGUCCCUUAGGAAAGUGAGGCCCCUUUGUCCAGCCCUAAAGUGGAUGCUGGAGCAUGCUGUCCUUCCCUCCGGGAGCCAGCUUCAGGAUGCCAGGUCUGAGGGCGAGUUCUCCUGAGGCUAAAGAGACCCUAAGCAGAGCCUGUUAGAAAGAUUUAGGCGGAUCCAGAAAGCUCAGGGACCGUCCGGGUUACAGUGACCCUCCGGCAUGUGGUUUGCAAGCAGGAGCAAGCAGGAGUGUGUGGCUGUGCUUCCUUGUCUGCUGGAAGAUGAGGUGGUGUGCUGACUACAUAAGGAAGGCGGUGACAUUACAGCUUCAGGACAGCGCAGGGGCAAUUGCUCUGGUUUUCUAAGGACUGGUGUUUCUCAAACUGCAUUUGCAGAUGUGACUAAAAAUAGAAGAGCUUGCAAACAUGUCCUGCAGAUCCCAUGGGUAGGACACCGCUGCCAAGAGUGCCGACUCUGAGAGCGCAGAGGCUCUCAGCCGACCUGUGAACCCAGGACAAACCCCAUGGGGGCAGAUGGCAUGGGAACCGGCUUCCAGCCCUCGCGGAAGACAUUGGAUUUCAUUUCACUCCAGCUUGUUUCUUUCGUUUGGAAGAAAAUUAAUAAACUUUGUAAAACUUUAA